UACGUAGGCAGCAAGCGUUGUUCGGAGUUACUGGGCGUAAAGGGUGUGUAGGCGGUUGUUUAAGUUUGGUGUGAAAUCUCCCGGCUCAACUGGGGGGGUGCGCCGAAUACUGAAUGACUCGAGUGCGGGAGAGGAGAGUGGAAUUCCUGGUGUAGCGGUGAAAUGCGUAGAUAUCAGGAGGAACACCGGCGGUGUAGACGGCUCUCUGGACCGUAACUGACGCUGAGGCGCGAAAGCUAGGGGAGCAAACAGG
rnacentral:rRNA from 1 species